UACGUAGGGUGCGAGCGUUGUCCGGAAUUAUUGGGCGUAAAGGGCUCGUAGGCGGUUUGUCGCGUCGGGAGUGAAAUCCACUGGCUUAACUGGUGGCUUGCUUUCGAUACGGGCAGACUGGAGGUAUGCAGGGGAGAACGGAAUUCCUGGUGUAGCGGUGAAAUGCGCAGAUAUCAGGAGGAACACCGGUGGCGAAGGCGGUUCUCUGGGCAUGUCCUGACGUGAGGAGCGAAAGUGUGGGGGAGCGAACAGG
rnacentral:rRNA from 1 species